GAUGAACGCUGGCGGCGUGCCUAAUACAUGCAAGUCGAGCGAACAGAUGAGGAGCUUGCUCCUCUGACGUUAGCGGCGGACGGGUGAGUAACACGUGGAUAACCUACCUAUAAGACUGGGAUAACUUCGGGAAACCGGAGCUAAUACCGGAUAAUAUAUUGAACCGCAUGGUUCAAUAGUGAAAGACGGUUUUGCUGUCACUUAUAGAUGGAUCCGCGCCGCAUUAGCUAGUUGGUAAGGUAACGGCUUACCAAGGCAACGAUGCGUAGCCGACCUGAGAGGGUGAUCGGCCACACUGGAACUGAGACACGGUCCAGACUCCUACGGGAGGCAGCAGUAGGGAAUCUUCCGCAAUGGGAGAAAGCCUGACGGAGCAACGCCGCGUGAGUGAUGAAGGUCUUCGGAUCGUAAAACUCUGUUAUUAGGGAAGAACAAAUGUGUAAGUAACUAUGCACGUCUUGACGGUACCUAAUCAGAAAGCCACGGCUAACUACGUG
rnacentral:rRNA from 1 species